rnacentral:rRNA from 1 species
CCUACGGGGGGCUGCAGUAGGGAAUAUUGCUCAAUGGGGGAAACCCUGAAGCAGCAACGCCGCGUGGAGGAUGAAGGUUUUCGGAUUGUAAACUCCUUUUGUUAGAGAAGAUAAUGACGGUAUCUAACGAAUAAGCACCGGCUAACUCCGUGCCAGCAGCCGCGGUAAUACGGAGGGUGCAAGCGUUACUCGGAAUCACUGGGCGUAAAGAGCGCGUAGGCGGGAUAGCAAGUCAGAUGUGAAAUCCUAGGGCUUAACCAUAGAACUGCAUUUGAAACUGUUAUUCUAGAGUAUGGGAGGGGUAGGUGGAAUUCUUGGUGUAAGGGUAAAAUCCGUAGAGAUCAAGAGGAAUACUCAUUGCGAAGGCGACCUGCUAGAACAUAACUGACGCUGAUGCGCGAAAGCGUGGGGAGCAAACAGGAUUAGAUACCCCUGUAGUC